rnacentral:rRNA from 1 species
CGGACGGGUGAGUAAUGUCUGGGAAACUGCCUGAUGGAGGGGGAUAACUACUGGAAACGGUAGCUAAUACCGCAUAACGUCGCAAGACCAAAGAGGGGGACCUUAGGGCCUCUUGCCAUCGGAUGUGCCCUGAUGGGAUUAGCUAGUAGGUGGGGUAACGGCUCACCUAGGCGACGAUCCCUAGCUGGUCUGAGAGGAUGACCAGCCACACUGGAACUGAGACACGGUCCAG